rnacentral:rRNA from 1 species
GACGAACGCUGGCGGCGUGCCUAACACAUGCAAGUCGAGCGGGGUUAUACGGAAGCUUGCUUCUGUAUAACUUAGCGGCGGACGGGUGAGUAACGCGUGAGUAACCUGCCCGUAAGACGGGGAUAACACAGAGAAAUCUGUGCUAAUACCCGAUGAAGAAAUUUUGCUGCAUGGCAGGAUUUUGAAAGAUUUAUCGCUUACGGAUGGACUCGCGUUCGAUUAGAUAGUUGGCAGGGUAACGGCCUACCAAGUCGACGAUCGAUAGCCGAACUGAGAGGUUGAUCGGCCACAUUGGGACUGAGACACGGCCCAGACUCCUACGGGAGGCAGCAGUGGGGAAUAUUGCGCAAUGGGGGGAACCCUGACGCAGCAACGCCGCGUGAAGGAAGAAGGUCUUCGGAUUGUAAACUUUUGUCGCAAAGGAAGAAAGAAAUGACGGUACUUUGUGAGAAAGCCACGGCUAACUACGUGCCAGCCGCCGCGGUAA